rnacentral:rRNA from 1 species
AACAAUCCAGACCGCCAGCUAAGGCCCCAAAAUCAUAGUUAAGUGGGAAACGAUGUGGGAAGGCAUAGACAGCUAGGAGGUUGGCUUAGAAGCAGCCACCCUUUAAAGAAAGCGUAAUAGCUCACUAGUCGAGUCGGCCUGCGCGGAAGAUGUAACGGGGCUAAAACUAUGUGCCGAAGCUGCGGAUGUAUACUUUGUAUACGUGGUAGGGGAGCGUUCUGUAAGCCGAUGAAGGUGUGUUGAGAAGCAUGCUGGAGGUAUCAGAAGUGCGAAUGCUGACGUGAGUAACGACAAAACGGGUGAAAAACCCGUUCGCCGAAAGACCAAGGGUUCCAGUCCAACGUUAAUCGGGGCUGGGUGAGUCGACCCCUAAGGCGAGGCCGAAAGGCGUAGUCGAUGGGAAAAUGGUUAAUAUUCCAUUACUUCUGUGUAAUGCGAUGAGAGGACGGAGAAGGCUAAAUCAGCCUGGCGUUGGUUGUCCAGGUGAAAGGAUGUAGGCAUGUAUCUUAGGCAAAUCCGGGGUACUCUAUGCUGAGAUCUGAUAGCAAGCUGUACUUGUACAGCGAAGUGGUUGAUGCCAUGCUUCCAGGAAAAGUCUCUAAGCUUCAGUUACACAGGAAUCGUACCCGAAACCGACACAGGUGGUCAGGUCGAGUAGACCAAGGCGCUUGAGAGAACUCUGCUGAAGGAACUAGGCAAAAUGGUACCGUAACUUCGGGAGAAGGUACGCUGUUGUUGGUGAUGGAACUCGCUUCCUGAGCUGACGACAGCCGCAGAAACCAGGCCGCUGCAACUGUUUAUUAAAAACAUAGCACUCUGCAAACACGAAAGUGGACGUAUAGGGUGUGAUGCCUGCCCGGUGCUGGAAGGUUAAUUGAUGGGGUUAGCGUAAGCGAAGCUCUUGAUCGAAGCCCCAGUAAACGGCGGCCGUAACUAUAACGGUCCUAAGGUAGCGAAAUUCCUUGUCGGGUAAGUUCCGACCUGCACGAAUGGCAUAAUGAUGGCGGCGCUGUCUCCAGCAGAGGCUCAGUGAAAUCGAAAUCGCUGUGAAGAUGCAGUGUACCCGCGGCUAGACGGAAAGACCCCGUGAACCUUUACUGCAGCUUGACACUGAACUUUGACCUUACUUGUGUAGGAUAGGUGGGAGGCUUUGAAGCUGGAACGCUAGUUCCAGUGGAGCCGUCCUUGAAAUACCACCCUGGUAAUGUUGAGGUUCUAACUCUGUCCCGUGAUCCGGGACGAGGACCGUGUCUGGUGGGUAGUUUGACUGGGGCGGUCUCCUCCUAAAGAGUAACGGAGGAGUACGAAGGUGCGCUCAGCGUGGUCGGAAAUCACGCGUAGAGUAUAAAGGCAAAAGCGCGCUUAACUGCGAGACCCACAAGUCGAGCAGGUACGAAAGUAGGUCUUAGUGAUCCGGUGGUUCUGUAUGGAAGGGCCAUCGCUCAACGGAUAAAAGGUACUCUGGGGAUAACAGGCUGAUACCGCCCAAGAGUUCAUAUCGACGGCGGUGUUUGGCACCUCGAUGUCGGCUCAUCUCAUCCUGGGGCUGAAGCAGGUCCCAAGGGUAUGGCUGUUCGCCAUUUAAAGAGGUACGCGAGCUGGGUUUAGAACGUCGUGAGACAGUUCGGUCCCUAUCUACCGUGGGCGCUGGAAAUUUGAGAGGAUCUGCUCCUAGUACGAGAGGACCAGAGUGGACGAACCUCUGGUGUACCGGUUGUGACGCCAGUCGCAUCGCCGGGUAGCUAUGUUCGGAAGGGAUAACCGCUGAAAGCAUCUAAGCGGGAAGCCUACCUCAAGAUAAGAUUUCCCUAGGACUUUAUGUCCUCUAAAGAGCCGUUCGAGACUAGGACGUUGAUAGGUUGGAUGUGGAAGCAUAGUGAUAUGUGAAGCUGACCAAUACUAAUUGCUCGUGAGGCUUGACUAU